CCUACGGGUGGCAGCAGUGGGGGAUAUUGGUCAAUGGGCGAAACCCUGAAGCAGCAACGCCGCGUGGAGGAUGAAGGUUUUCGGAUUGUAAACUCCUUUUGUUAGAGAAGAUAAUGACGGUAUCUAACGAAUAAGCACCGGCUAACUCCGUGCCAGCAGCCGCGGUAAUACGGCGGGUGCAAGCGUUACUCGGAAUCACUGGGCGUAAAGAGCGCGUAGGCGGGAUAGCAAGUCAGAUGUGAAAUCCUAUGGCUUAACCAUAGAACUGCAUUUGAAACUGUUAGUCUAGAGUAUGGGAGAGGUAGGUGGAAUUCGUGGUGUAGGGGUAAAAUGCGUAGAGAUCAAGAGGAAUACUCAUUGCGAAGGCGACCUGCUAGAACAUAACUGACGCUGAUGCGCGAAAGCGUGGGGAGCAAACAGGAUUAGAUACCCUGGUAGUC
rnacentral:rRNA from 1 species